UGAGACGCUAUGGUAGAAAUGUCUCCAGAUUCCGGGUGGCUGUAAUGCCUCUGCAAAGCCACCUUUCAGCAUGUCCCAUUUGCUGUGCUUUCAAGUACUCAACUGUGUUGGUGCCUUUACAAGAUUCAGCCCCAAAGGCUUGUGCAGUAGAAGCCGCUUCAUGCUCUCUCUUGUGUCCUCUGAAAUGAUCAUCAUUCUUCAAGUGCUACCAUACUUUCUGAAAUGAUUUCAACAAAAGUGAAUGAACUACCGUUAAAUGCAACAACGUGGGUGGACAUCAAAACAUGAUACUGAAGACAGACACAGAAGAUACACACCUUUUGAUUGCAUUUACCUGAACUUUGAAAACAGUAAAAACAAAAUUAUUGGGUUCUAAGUCAAAAUAGUAGUUAGACCUGGUGGGGAAGGCAGGGAGUAGGAGUUGGGAGAGGCCAUAACAGGAAGAGGGGAGGAACUCUGGAGUCCUGGCAUCUUAUGUUUUUUUCAAUGGUGGUUACCCCAGUGAUCGCUUUGUGACAACUAAUCUGUGCAUUUACAUGUCAUGCACUUUUCUGUAUGUGAGAAUACUUUGCAAUAAAAAAUGCUUUCAAAAUAUCCAGUGGAAUUAGGAUAAAUCUGAGAGGCAAAGCUAUUAAAUUUUUAGAAUCAAUAUAAUAGAAUUUCUUUCUGACCAUAAGAUAGGAAGAGUUUUAAUGUAGAACACUCAAAAUACCACAAAGAAAAUUGUUUGAUAAAUAUCAAAAAGUUUUACAUUAAACUUUAGAACUAUUUUCCACUACAAGAUGUCAUAAAGUAAAAAGAUAAGCCAUAGACCUGACAAAUAUAUUUGUAACACAUAUAACUAAAAAAUGAUUAUAUAAUUUAUAAAUAAGAAAACAGACAAACAUGCCAACCUAAAAAUGAACAAAAGACAUGAGCAGGUAAUUUACAGAAGAACACAUGAAUGGCUAAUAAUUAUAUCUGAAGCUAUUCAGCCUCAUUAAUAAUUAGAAAAUGCAAAUUAAAACUGGCUGAGUUGGCCAGAACUAUAAAAUAUGACAAUUCCAAUUGCUGGUAGGGUACGGAACAACAGGAACUCAUACACUGUUGAAUAAUAAAUUGGUAUAAUCAGUCCAAUGGACAUUUUUGCAUUCCCUGAUCAAUAUUUGCAUGUGCUACAUGGUCAGCAAUUCUACUUUUGGAGAUAUUCCUCAGGAAACUUCAAUUGAGAUCAUGUACAAAAAAAUCCGUGUUAGUAUUGCUUAUACUAGUAAAAUACUGGAAAUAAUGUGUACGUCCAUCAAGAGACGAAUAAGUACUAAAUUAUGUUUCUCCAUACAAUAAGCACAUUUUGCAGCCGUGAAGUUUAAAGGAUGCGAUGCAUCAGUGUGGAUGAAUUCUCAGAAACACAUCACGCAACAAUGAUAAGUCAGUCACAAAAGAAUACGUAGAAUGCUUCCAUUAAAUGAAGCUUACAUAAGAGGUAAGACUAAUUUAAUAGUUGGGGAUGCAUACCUUUGUGAUAACAAUAUAAAGAAAAGCAAAUAAAGAAGAAGACAAAAUGCAGCAUAGUGAUCAAAUUGCAAGACAAGGAAGCGGAAUGCAAUCAAACCGCAAGAGA